rnacentral:rRNA from 1 species
GACGAACGCUGGCGGCGUGGAUUAGGCAUGCAAGUCGAGCGAUAUCUUACCUUCGGGUAAGUGAAAGCGGCGAACGGGUGAGUAACACGUGAAUAACCUGCCCUCACAUUCCGGAUAAUAGACCGAAAGGUCUUGUAAUACGGGCGAGGAUUUCUCUUAGGCAUCUUAGAGAAAGGAAGGCGCAAGCCGUGCGAGGAGGG